rnacentral:rRNA from 1 species
GAUGAACGCUAGCGGCAGGCCUAAUACAUGCAAGUCGAGGGGUAUGGGUUGCUUGCAACCCAGAGACCGGCGCACGGGUGCGUAACGCGUAUGCAAUCUACCUUAAUCAGGGGGAUAGCCCGGAGAAAUCCGGAUUAACACCGCAUAACAUUGAGUUGUGGCAUCACAGUUCAAUCAAAUAUUUAUAGGAUUAAGAUGAGCAUGCGUGACAUUAGUUAGUUGGUGAGGUAACGGCUCACCAAGACCACGAUGUCUAGGGGAUCUGAGAGGAUGACCCCCACACUGGUACUGAGACACGGACCAGACUCCUACGGGAGGCAGCAGUAAGGAAUAGUGGUCAAUGGGCGCAAGCCUGAACCAGCCAUGCCGCGUGCAGGAAGACGGCCCUAUGGGUUGUAAACUGCUUUUGUACCGGAAUAAACCUUCUCUUGCGAGAGAAGCUGAACGUACGGUAAGAAUAAGGAUCGGCUAACUCCGUG